UGCAGAGAAGAAACUAAGGUG
rnacentral:piRNA from 1 species